rnacentral:rRNA from 1 species
AACGAACGUUAGCGGCGCGCCUAACACAUGCAAGUCGCACGAGAAAGGGCUUCGGCCCCGGUACAGUGGCGCACGGGUGAGUAACACGUAGAUCAUCUCCCCUCGAGUGGUGGAUAACUCUCCGAAAGGAGAGCUAAUACAGCAUGAGACCACGGCACUGAUGGUGUUGUGGCCAAAGCAGGCCUCUACACGUAAGCUUGCGCUUGAGGAUGAGUAUGCGGCCCAUCAGCUAGUUGGUAGGGUAAUGGCCUACCAAGGCGAAGACGGGUAGCCGGUCUGAGAGGAUGAACAGCCACACUGGAACUGAGACACGGUCCAGACUCCUACGGGAGGCAGCAGUGGGGAAUCUUGCGCAAUGGGCGAAAGCCUGACGCAGCGACGCCGCGUGAGCGAUGAAGGCCUUCGGGUUGUAAAGCUCUGUGGGGAGGAAAGAAUAAGGCAUGGCUAACAUCCAUGUCGAUGACGGUACCUCCUUAGCAAGCACCGGCUAACUCUGUGCCAGCCGCCGCGGUAA